GUAGGGAAUAUUGCGCAAUGGACGAAAGUCUGACGCAGCGACGCCGCGUGAGUGAUGAAGGCCUUAGGGUCGUAAAGCUCUGUUGAAUGGGAAGAAAAAAAUGACGGUACCAUUCGAGGAAGGACCGGCUAACUUCGUGCCAGCAGCCGCGGUAAUACGAGGGGUCCUAGCGUUGUUCGGAAUCAUUGGGCGUAAAGGGUGUGUAGGUGGCCAUGUAAGUCAGGUGUGAAAGCCCCGGGCUCAACCCGGGAAGUGCACUUGAUACUGCGUGGCUUGAGUACCGAAGAGGGUAGUGGAAUUCCAGGUGUAGUGGUGAAAUACGUAGAUAUCUAGAGGAACACCGGUGGCGAAGGCGGCUACCUGGUCGAGUACUGACACUGAGACACGAAAGCAUGGGGAUCAAACAGGAUUAGAAACCCGAGUAGUCC
rnacentral:rRNA from 1 species